AUUGAACGCUGGCGGCAGGCCUAACACAUGCAAGUCGAGCGGCGCUUCGGACGGGUGAUUAAUGCCUAGUAAUCUACCUGUUCGUAGGGGAUACCGUCCGGCAACGUGCGCUAAUACCGCAUACUAUCAGAUGAGCCUCGGUCGUAGUAGCUAGUUGGUGGGGUAGAGGCCUACCAAGGCGACGAUCCGUAACUGCUCGGAGAGGAUGAUCAGUCACACUGGAAAUGAGACACGGUACAAGGUGCGACGGGAGGGAGCAGUGGGCAAGAGGGGACAAUGGGUGAAAGCCUGAGCCAGCCAGGCCGCGUGUGUGAAGAAGGUCUUCGGAUUGUAAAGCAAAUUAAGUCGGGAGGCGUUACCCGCAGAAGAAGUACCGGCUAAAUCCGUGCCAGCAGCCGCGGUAAUAC
rnacentral:rRNA from 1 species